rnacentral:misc_RNA from 1 species
GAUGAGAACGUAGCGAAAUGCGAUAAGUAAUGUGAAUUGCAGAAUUCAGUGAAUCAUCGAAUCUUUGAACGCACAUUGCGCCCGCCAGCAUUCUGGCGGGCAUGCCUGUUCGAGCGUCAUUUCAACCCUCGAGCCCCCCCGGGGGCCUCGGUGUUGGGGGACGGCACACCAGCCGCCCCCGAAAUGCAGUGGCGACCCCGCCGCAGCCUCCCCUGCGUAGUAGCACACACCUCGCACCGGAGCGCGGAGGCGGUCACGCCGUAAAACGCCCAACUUUCUUAGAGUUGACCUCGGAUCAGGUAGGAAUACCCGCUGAACUUAAGCAUAUCAAUAAGCGGAGGA